rnacentral:lncRNA from 1 species
GACGAGGUUUCGGGAUUAUAAGUCACGGACCAGCAGAAGGUGCCUCAUGUGACCCUCUCAUGAAGGGGUUGCAAGUCAGGCAUGUGCACACAGUAGAUAUUAGCCAUGCACUCUCACCAUUUCAUAGUAGAUCACAGAAUCAAGAUUCAAAUCUCCAUGCACUGAAAAGGAUUUAAGGCAUUGAUCAAUACUGAAUAUAAAUAUUUGACCAUCAAUGAUAUUUACGCACACACUGAAAAAUCUAGUCAGAAUGACUUACACAAAGGUUUAUAUAACCUUUAUCCAAGGUUAUUUAUAUAGUAAAAUUCUUAAGUCUUUAUGAUGGUCAAGGCCUUAAUUUUAAAAAUUAUCAAUUUUUUUCUUUUGAAUUUUUUUAAGAAAAUUAUCAUGACAAUUUGUCUCUUAAAUGAAAGGAGAAAUGUAAAACUAAAUGGACAAAUAUCAAUCUUCUUAUUAUCUUUGCUGUCCUGUCCUCCCUGGAUGGGUGCUGACACAUUUCUUGCCUGCUGGUCCGUGGUUGCACUCUCACCAUGUGGAUGGAGCUCGGCAACUGAAAAUGCAUUCUGCCACCGAGAUGAUUUACACAGCCUAGCGUGAUCAGGAGCCCCCUAAUAAGCUGCUCCCGAUUGUAAUAUAGACACAGUAAUGUACGCCUGCAGGCGGACUCCCACCUUCCUCGUUACUCUUGAGGUUUGAGAUUCCCUGUUUGUGUCUGCAGGAUUCAGAUAGUAAUGGAUAUCCUACAAGCCGACUUCGUAGAGUCUCCCUUGAAAGUGGACCUCGUGAUCUAGCCUUUAUGUCCGUGGAUAGACACUGUUGUAUAUAUACACUUCCUCGGUUUCGAGAUUCCUGCUCUGGUGGUUGUAGUCAUAAGAUAUACAUAGUUGUGUAGUCAUUGCUCACAUCUUGGUUGUGGGCACACACACUAGUGUUGAAUUACCACCUUGUCCAAGUGGAUGGAUGCCCUCAAUGGGAUUGGCACAUUCUCCAUUGCUCCUGCGCUCUGUUAUCAGCACUUCGGGUUUAUAAUGUACACACAGCAACAGAUGCCUUCCUCACUGGUCACCAGGUUCACGGUCCCUCAUAUGUGUCCGGUGCAUAGUCACCAAAAAAGGCCAACUUCAGAUCAAUGGGUGGAUCGGAUUGUACCUCGGCCUAAGCUCCAGGGUUGAUUGUGCUGUUACAGUCACAGCUACAACCGGCUCAGGGAACCCAGUAGAAGAGGAGGUGGAGUGUGAGAGUCAAUUGGAAUGGAAGACAUUGAGGAAACAAGGCCUUCAAGACACAAGAGGACCAAUGAGCUCACAGAGACUGAGGCAGCACCCUCAAGACCUGCACAGGUCUAAGCUUGGUGGGGUUUCAGCACUGAGAGGGCAACUGGACAUAAUUCUAUAUAUGGAGUGACACUGGAUAUAGAAACUGCCCAUAACAGCAGACUCCAUGGCUCAGACUUCCAACACAAUAUGAACUCAGUUGCAUUUUUGCAAGGUUUUUUGACUCAUAGUGCUUUGUCUGGGCUUUUUCACCCUACAGAGAAUUUCUGUAUAUAUUAUCGUUUCUGAUUGUAGUGUUUUGAAUUUUCACCGGGUCUAAGUAUCUGUGUCUCAGUGUCGAGAUGUGUUUCUCAUGAUUUUUCUUUGCUUCUUUUUUUCCCAUUCUUCUUUGUGUGUGCUCCCUGGUUUGUGUUUUAGUCUCUGGGAACUCUGAGGGUCUGGUGGUUCUUCCUAUGGGGUUGAAAAAAACCCCUUCAGCUCCUUCAGCCUUUCACCGAGUCCUCCAUUAUUGUGGUCCCCAUGCUCAGUCCACUGGUUGGAUGCGAGCCUCCCCCUUUGUAUUUGUCAGGCUCUGGCAGAGCCUUUAAGGAGAUUGCUGUAUUAGGCUCUUGUCAGCUUUGUUUUUUUUUUUUUUUAUUCUGUCUUUUCUAUACUCUUUAUUUUAGAUGACUGUGUUUAUUCUAAUGUAUGAAUGAAUAAAUGGGUGUGUGUUUGGGUGGGUGGGGAAUUGGGGAGGGAGGGAGGGGGUGGGGGAGAGGAAACUGUAACACAAAUACAUUGUAUAAAAGUACAUUUUAAUAAAUGUAUUUCUUCUCUGACUAAAAAAAA